rnacentral:rRNA from 1 species
AACGAACGCUGGCGGCAGGCCUAACACAUGCAAGUCGAGCGAAGCCUUCGGGCUUAGCGGCGGACGAGUGAGUAACGCGUGGGAACGUGCCCUUUGCUACGGAAUAGCCCCGGGAAACUGGGAGUAAUACCGUAUGUGCCCUUCGGGGGAAAGAUUUAUCGGCAAAGGAUCGGCCCGCGUUGGAUUAGGUAGUUGGUGGGGUAAUGGCCUACCAAGCCGACGAUCCAUAGCUGGUUCGAGAGGAUGAUCAGCCACACUGGGACUGAGACACGGCCCAGACUCCUACGGGAGGCAGCAGUGGGGAAUCUUAGACAAUGGGGGAAACCCUGAUCUAGCCAUGCCGCGUGAUCGAUGAAGGCCUUAGGGUUGUAAAGAUCUUUCAGUGGGGAAGAUAAUGACUGUACCCACAGAAGAAGCCCCGGCUAACUCCGUGCCAGCCGCCGCAGUAACAC